UUUGGGGUCUACAGUUAGCGCCCAUAAAUCCCUUGGUUCAUUGAUGUAGCAUCCAAACAAUUGCUAAAUUGGCUAACACAGCAGCAUGAUGAUAGGUGUUUGAACUUGAGGGGAAAAAACCUAGAUGGUCAAGAGACUGAAAUUCACAAAGUUCUUGUUUUCAGGGGCAAUGAUGUAGGAAGUUAUGUAAUAUAAUUAUUAAAAUACAUGUAGCAUACUAACAUUUAUUGAAAAGCAGUAGUGUUCUUAGUAAUCUUAAGGAAAAACAAAAUUGGGAAAUUAAUUAGGCACGGUUAUAGAACAAAAUUAUGACAGUGAGGACUUUGAUGAAUAAAGUGUUUAAUGUGUAUGGGUUGUGUUGUUUUGGCAUUAUUUUUCCAGGUGAUAUCCAGGUUGUCCAUGUUAGGCAGUAGGUCCUAAACACUUUUAAUUUCCUAAAUGUACAGUGUUUUUUAUCAACCUUCUUUAGUUUUUGUUUUGUUUGUUUACAGUUGAGGAACCAGAGACAUAAAUGCUUCAGAAAACUUUUCAGGGUCUUCACAAAAACCUACAACCAGAACCAAACUCACUUCCUGGUGUUUGACUUACUUUCAUGGUAAUUUCGUAGAAACAUAAAAUGCUCCAAUUUGAAGGAGACUCACUGUCAGCUGCCCUGACCGCUUGUUUAUAGAUGAGAAAAGGCCUUUUCCUAACAGAUUGUGAGUUAGCAAAUCUGAGAUUAUCUGCUAAGGUUUUGUUUGUUUGAAUUUUGUUACCAGAGUGGUUCUUUGUUUUCAUAUGAAAGAGGGUUCACACUAUCCAAGUUUUUGGUUUCUGUGAAAAUUUAAAAAUAUUUUACAAGUGAAGAGAUCAUUGACUUUAAGAAAAGAGGCAUGAGAGUGGCACAGCUCGAUGAUAGAAAUUAGUGCCAUCAGCUAAUUUUGGCAAAUGUCAUCCCUAAAUGAUCCAUAUUACUUAAAAAAUGUAUACAUAGACAACUUAAUACUGUUUUUAUACCAUUAUUUUUGCUUUUUAAAAUAUCUUAAAUAUUAAGCAUAUCUCAUGAUUUCAUAUUUAUAAACUUAAAACAGUGCCUGGCACAUAAAUAGCUUUAAAUGAGCUAUAAAUAGCUUUGUGAAAUAAGUAAGUAAAUCUGGUGUUAACUAGAUCCUGAGGACAUUAAGAGCUCUGUGAAAGAAAGGAUAGAAGUCUGAUGUGACUGAAGUUUGGUAAUAGGGGAGAACUGGCAUCAGGUGUAGCUGAGAAGGUGAGCAGAAGCCAUAUAGUUCUGAACUUUGCAGAUAUUGUUAAAGGUUUUCUUUUUUGUCCCAAGAGCAAUGACAUGUACUUAAGAAUAUUGUAAAGAAUGGAUUUACAGACGAGGUCUGCAGAUUUGCUGCAAAAGCAACCUGACUGCUUUUUAGCCCUUCUUUUCUCUUGGGGAGGGAUCUGUCUUUUUGGUCUCCAAAUGCUGAAUGCAAGAUUGGAAAGUUUGAAACAGCAUUUUCACAAAUGAAACUGCAUUGUGUCAAAUUGAAUUGUACUUCGUUUUUAUGAUUGUACCUUUGUGUCUCUGCCCAACACAGUGGCCUUACAGUGCUGUUUUGCUCUAGUCUUCUCUUAGCCAACAGAAGUGCCUCUGCAACAUAGGGGGACUAGCUGUGUCGAACCCCACUGAUGCACGCUCUACCUUGCCCUUGAGUGUUGAGAACAGUUUAUUGGUGAUACUGGCACAAAUUUACAAAUAGCUAGGAUUUAUGUCAGCAGAACAUCAGAUAGCAGUGGUGCUUUUCUGAAAAAAGCAUCAUUGUUCUGGUAACCUUUCUUUCUUACUGUGCAAUCCUACCAUGCCCUAAUAGCCUCCAAAGAGAUGAACAGUGUGUCUUUAGUUUUAAUUUUUUGUCUAUUUAGUGUAUGUAAUUGGAAGAGUAAGCAGUAGCUUUUAGUUUUAUGUGCUAACAAGUAUAUGUCAA